AGAAUAGUCCAGCCGCACCAGGAAGUGGUCUAUCUCAGGACAACUGACAAGGUACAUUCAAGAGGAUGAAAUGAGCGAAGGUAGCCAAAACCUUGUGUGGCAGUGCUGGGGACCCUAAACUAUGUGCAAGUAUUGAUGACUCCAGCUUAGUGGUUGCUAGUACUUGUGCACCAUCAGGAUACCUGGCCUUUCCACCCUCACUGGGACCUAAGCACAUAAAGAGCAUUCAUGGGAAGAUGUCCUCAACCCCAAAGCCAAAGAAAUCCCAAAUGGAAGGAUCCAGUUAAUAUUGAUCCAGAGAUUCUGAAGAGUGGCCUGUGAGAUUCCUUCUGAAGGUCUAGUUGUAAAGGCUUGGAAUGGGCAAACACCUAGUUACAUUGCACAGAGGAGAAAACUGAAGGCUGGAAAUCUGCCAGAGGUUGGAGAUUCAACGAUGGAUGUGCUGGAUGCGGUUGCCAUGGAGUGAAACGGUUAUGGAGGAAGUAGAAAACAAGCAAAGCCACCAGGAAAGAAGAGCACUUGUCAACUGAGCAGACGGAGCAGAUGGGAGGCUGAGGCAGGAAGAGGGCUUUGAGUCUGAAACCAGCCUGGGCCACACAGCAAGUUCCCAGGCAGUCCAGCCUGCAGGAGUUCUGUGACCUGUUCUGCCCACCUGCCUCCACUGAACACUUUGAGGAUAAAACAUCCUAAUUGGCUGCUCUGACGCCCCCUGGGAUGCAUGGAGUCAGGAUUGUAGAAAUGCUCUCUUUGGGAGACAGGAUGUUCUGUAAUGCUUACAGAUUUUGAAGAGGUGACCUCAGAAAUCACUUUGGUUCAACAUCUGGAACCGUGAAUGAGCAGUAACUACAGAGGACAGAAAAGUGUCUGUGGCCUGCCUUGGAGCUGGGUCACAGAUGGUCUCCCCUUACAUAAACCCUUCAUAAGAGGAUGCUCUGCUUUCUAGUUCGAUCACAGACUAGGAAAUGAAGAAGUUGACAGGUGCAUUCAAGGUGACAACCAGGAAAUAAUCAUCAUGUGCAGAGAUGACAGGGAUCAUAUGGCACACAGAGGGUUAGGGAUUCAACCAACAGCCUCAAGCGUGUUAGCCAAGUGCACUACCACCGCACAGACCCUGAUGACGUUAGCCAACCUCUCUGUAUGUUUAUUCACAUAUGAAGUGGGAAUCAUACAUGAUGCCACAAGGUACAGUUUACACAAUGUAUUUCCUCCACAUACAGGAAAUACAACAGAACCACCAACAAUGUUUCUUUACACACAUAACAUAUUCCCUCUCUCAUGCUCAUAAUAAGCUGUGGACAUGUUGUCCACUUAAUCAGAUUCCCAGGUGAGCAAUUGAUUUUAUUUCUUCUCUCUUUGAGCUACUGAGGAUGAAUGCAAAGUCUUAAGCAUGCUAGGCAAAUACUCUACCACUGAAGUAUAGCCCGGGUUAGCACAGACGAGCUUCUGAGAUUCAGGAAGGCUGUGGAGCUUUCUGAACGCCACAUAGUGAGUGAGUUAAGAGGUAAGUGUGGAUGGCAAUCUACUGGACCAGUUUUUCUAGAAGAAUGUG